rnacentral:rRNA from 1 species
GACGAACGCUGGCGGCGUGCUUAACACAUGCAAGUCGAGCGGACGGAGGGCUUUGGCCCGAAGUUAGCGGCGGACGGGUGAGUAACGCGUGAACAAUCUGUCCCAGACAGGGGGAUAACAACCUGAAAAGGUUGCUAAUACCGCAUAAGACCACGGCCUCGCAUGGGGCUGAGGUAAAAGAUUUAUCGGUUUGGGGUGAGUUCGCGUCUGAUUAGCUAGUUGGUGAGGUAACGGCCCACCAAGGCGACGAUCAGUAGCCGAUCUGAGAGGGUGAUCGGCCACAUUGGGACUGAGACACGGCCCAG